rnacentral:rRNA from 1 species
UACGGAGGGUGCAAGCGUUAUCCGGAUUUACUGGGUUUAAAGGGUGCGUAGGUGGGCAGUUAAGUCAGUGGUGAAAUCUCCGAGCUUAACUCGGAAACUGCCAUUGAUACUAUCUGUCUUGAAUAUCCUGGAGGUGAGCGGAAUAUGUCAUGUAGCGGCGAAAUGCUUAGAUAUGACAUAGAACACCAAUUGCGAAGGCAGCUCACUACGGGAUUAUUGACACUGAGGCACGAAAGCGUGGGGAUCAAACAGG